GUGCUAAUAGGAUUGAACAAAGUCCCAAAUAUUGUAAUCCAUCUGUUUCACUUUGUCAGCAGACUUAAUUGGUGUCUUGCUGAUCAUUUUAUGAUGGGAUAUGG
rnacentral:snoRNA from 14 species